UCUGAAGCCAGCCGUUAAAUCUGACAGGCUCACCUUGGCGGACGCGCCUGUAAGGUGACCCUGGAGGAGUCGAGAGACGUCUCGACCCCUCGUUAGGACGUGGGGGGGGGCUCAGAGGACCCCUCCUCCGUCAGAGGACUCCUGUAUGGAGUCCAUCCAUUUAAGGGGACCAGGAACCAAUCUUAGAGUUCUGUGGCCCCGUCUGUAUGGUUUUUGGAUCCGUGUACAUCAACACGGGUUCCAGAGACCCUCUGUUGCACCCGGGAAUCUGUUAAGGCCUUGUCAUUUCUUUAUUGUCUGUUCUUGUGUUUGUUUUUUGUUUCUCUCCCCUUUGUUCAUUAGCUUUCUAAACUAACCAUGGGGACAACUCCAUCUUCCCCCUUGGAUUUAACUGA